rnacentral:rRNA from 1 species
AUGAACGCUGGCGGCGCGCCUAACACAUGCAAGUCGAACGGCACCCCUCUCCGGAGGGAAGCGAGUGGCGAACGGCUGAGUAACACGUGGAGAACCUGCCCCCUCCCCCGGGAUAGCCGCCCGAAAGGACGGGUAAUACCGGAUAACCCGGGGUGCCGCAUGGCACCCCGGCUAAAGCCCCGACGGGAGGGGAUGGCUCCGCGGCCCAUCAGGUAGACGGCGGGGUGACGGCCCACCGUGCCGACAACGGGUAGCCGGGUUGAGAGACCGACCGGCCAGAUUGGGACUGAGACACGGCCCAGACUCCUACGGGAGGCAGCAGUGGGGAAUCUUGCGCAAUGGGGGGAACCCUGACGCAGCGACGCCGCGUGCGGGACGGAGGCCUUCGGGUCGUAAACCGCUUUCAGCAGGGAAGAGUCAAGACUGUACCUGCAGAAGAAGCCCCGGCUAACUACGUGCCAGCAGCCGCGGUAAUACGUAGGGGGCGAGCGUUAUCCGGAUUCAUUGGGCGUAAAGCGCGCGUAGGCGGCCCGGCAGGCCGGGGGUCGAAGCGUGGGGCUCAACCCCCCGAAGCCCCCGGAACCUCCGCGGCUUGGGUCCGGUAGGGGAGGGUGGAACACCCGGUGUAGCGGUGGAAUGCGCAGAUAUCGGGUGGAACACCGGUGGCGAAGGCGGCCCUCUGGGCCGAGACCGACGCUGAGGCGCGAAAGCUGGGGGAGCGAACAGGAUUAGAUACCCUGGUAGUCCCAGCCGUAAACGAUGGACGCUAGGUGUGGGGGGACGAUCCCCCCGUGCCGCAGCCAACGCAUUAAGCGUCCCGCCUGGGGAGUACGGCCGCAAGGCUAAAACUCAAAGGAAUUGACGGGGGCCCGCACAAGCAGCGGAGCAUGUGGCUUAAUUCGAAGCAACGCGAAGAACCUUACCAGGGCUUGACAUAUGGGUGAAGCGGGGGAGACCCCGUGGCCGAGAGGAGCCCAUACAGGUGGUGCAUGGCUGUCGUCAGCUCGUGUCGUGAGAUGUUGGGUUAAGUCCCGCAACGAGCGCAACCCCCGUCCCGUGUUGCCAGCAUUGAGUUGGGGACUCGCGGGAGACUGCCGGCGUCAAGCCGGAGGAAGGUGGGGACGACGUCAAGUCAUCAUGCCCCUUAUGCCCUGGGCUGCACACGUGCUACAAUGGCCGGUACAGAGGGAUGCCACCCCGCGAGGGGGAGCGGAUCCCGGAAAGCCGGCCCCAGUUCGGAUUGGGGGCUGCAACCCGCCCCCAUGAAGUCGGAGUUGCUAGUAAUCGCGGAUCAGCAUGCCGCGGUGAAUGCGUUCCCGGGCCUUGUACACACCGCCCGUCACACCACCCGAGUCGUCUGCACCCGAAGUCGCCGGCCCAACCGAGAGGGGGGAGGCGCCGAAGGUGUGGAGGGUGAGGGGGGUG